UGCGGGAGGCGUCACAAG
rnacentral:misc_RNA from 1 species